GACGAACCUUGGCGGCGUGCUUAACACAUGCAAGUCGAACGGAAAGGCCCUGCUUUUGUGGGGUGCUCGAGUGGCGAACGGUUGAGUAACACGUGAGUAACCUGCCCUUGACUUUGGGAUAACUUCAGGAAACUGGGGCUAAUACCGGAUAGGAGCUCCUGCUGCAUGGUGGGGGUUGGAAAGUUUCGGCGGUUGGGGAUGGACUCGCGGCUUAUCAGCUUGUUGGUGGGGUAGUGGCUUACCAAGGCUUUGACGGGUAGCCGGCCUGAGAGGGUGACCGGCCACAUUGGGACUGAGAUACGGCCCAGACUCCUACGGGAGGCAGCAGUGGGGAAUAUUGCACAAUGGGCGGAAGCCUGAUGCAGCAACGCCGCGUGCGGGAUGACGGCCUUCGGGUUGUAAACCGCUUUCGCCUGUGACGAAGCGUGAGUGACGGUAAUGGGUAAAGAAGCACCGGCUAACUACGUGCCAGCAGCCGCGGUGAUACGUAGGGUGCGAGCGUUGUCCGGAUUUAUUGGGCGUAAAGGGCUCGUAGGUGGUUGAUCGCGUCGGAAGUGUAAUCUUGGGGCUUAACCCUGAGCGUGCUUUCGAUACGGGUUGACUUGAGGAAGGUAGGGGAGAAUGGAAUUCCUGGUGGAGCGGUGGAAUGCGCAGAUAUCAGGAGGAACACCAGUGGCGAAGGCGGUUCUCUGGGCCUUUCCUGACGCUGAGGAGCGAAAGCGUGGGGAGCGAACAGGCUUAGAUACCCUGGUAGUCCACGCUGUAAACGGUGGGUACUAGGUGUGGGGUCCAUUCCACGGGUUCCGUGCCGUAGCUAACGCUUUAAGUACCCCGCCUGGGGAGUACGGCCGCAAGGCUAAAACUCAAAGGAAUUGACGGGGCCCCGCACAAGCGGCGGAGCAUGCGGAUUAAUUCGAUGCAACGCGUAGAACCUUACCUGGGUUUGACAUGGAUCGGGAGUGCUCAGAGAUGGGUGUGCCUCUUUUGGGGUCGGUUCACAGGUGGUGCAUGCCUGUCGUCAGCUCGUGUCGUGAGAUGUUGGGUUAAGUCCCGCAACGAGCGCAACCCUUGUUCACUGUUGCCAGCACGUUAUGGUGGGGACUCAGUGGAGACCGCCGGGGUCAACUCGGAGGAAGGUGGGGAUGACGUCAAGUCCUCAUGCCCCUUAUGUCCAGGGCUUCACGCAUGCUACAAUGGCUGGUACAGAGAGUGGCGAGCCUGUGAGGGUGAGCGAAUCUCGGAAAGCCGGUCUCAGUUCGGAUUGGGGUCUGCAACUCGACCUCAUGAAGUCGGAGUCGCUAGUAAUCGCAAAUCAGCAACGCUGCGGUGAAUACGUUCCCGGGGC
rnacentral:rRNA from 1 species